GAUGAACGCUGGCGGCGUGCCUAAUACAUGCAAGUCGAGCGAACAGACGAGGAGCUUGCUCCUCUGACGUUAGCGGCGGACGGGUGAGUAACACGUGGAUAACCUACCUAUAAGACUGGGAUAACUUCGGGAAACCGGAGCUAAUACCGGAUCAUAUAUUGAACCGCAUGGUUCAAUAGUGAAAGACGGUUUUGCUGUCACUUAUAGAUGGUUCCGCGCCGCAUUAGCUAGUUGGUAAGGUAACGGCUUACCAAGGCAACGAUGCGUAGCCGACCUGAGAGGGUGAUCGGCCACACUGGAACUGAGACACGGUCCAGUCUCCUACGGGAGGCAGCAGUAGGGAAUCUUCCGCAAUGGGCGAAAGCCUGACGGAGCAACGCCGCGUGAGUGAUGAAGGUCUUCGGAUCGUAAAACUCUGUUAUUAGGGAAGAACAAAUGUGUAAGUAACUAUGCACGUCUUGACGGUACCUAAUCAGAAAGCCACGGCUAACUACGUG
rnacentral:rRNA from 1 species